ACAAAUUCCUGUGUCGCAAAUGUAUUUGUGACGAAAUUUGAUUAUUUGUGUCAAAAAUUAUCAUUUGUGACAAUAUUUGUGACGAAAACAUUUCGUCACAAAUAAACUUUUUUCUUGUAGUGUGAGUUUUGUCAAUUAUUCAGAACAGCACAUGAUCCCUCUUAUCCUCUCGUCAAACUGUGAGUACAACAAGAAACAAAGUCAGAAACUCAGCCAACCAUUCCUUUCUCAAACCGUAAACCAUCAUGAAGAACACACACAAUCUUAAUUUGCAUGUCUUUUCCCCUCAUCUCCACUCUUAGCCGUGAGUUCCUAAGAGACGAAACACCAUUCAAGCCUCCUUCUUUCUAUUCCUCAUUGAUUCGACAGAAUGCAGCAGCCAAGAGGACUGCACAUUGAAACCAUCAACCAUUCCCCUUCUCUUGUUCGGCCGAAGGCCAAUCUCAAGGAGUUAGAGCACAAGCCUACUUUUGUUCCUCUCCACCCUUGUUCAGCCGAUGACACAUCCAAGGAGUCUUAAGUUCGAAUUCUUGAGUAUUUGAAGUAAGAGGUGGCUGCCAUCACUGAAAUCCGAAACCGUUUGAUGCAGCCAAGGAGACAACUCCCUUGGAUGCAUACAGGGGAAGGUGUCACAGUGACCUGUGGAGAGUAGAAGAUGUGGACUUUAACUCAAACGUUGGUGAUUACCUCUUGGACUGAUUUGGGGAUCGGUUGUGUGUAUGCAAGAAGAGGUGCGCAAGGCCCCAAAUAAUUGGGCUGUUUGUUGAUGUUUGGAAUGCUUGGUUAAAAAGCUAAAGUGUCAAGGAGGACUUAGAAGCAUUUAAGGAAGUGUUUGAUGACAUGAUUACAUGACAAUUCUGUUAAGUUAUGCUGUUGACAACCUUACUGUUUGCUCGCUGUCUCUGUUGAGUGUAUUCUGAAUAUUUGACCUUGAUGUAGUUUCUUAAAGAAUGGCUUGCCAUGAUGUAUAUUAUGUUUUGAAAAGAAGUGUAGCAUGAUGUUUAUAAUUCUGCUAAUUAGUUUGCGAAAAGAAUUGCUGUUGUACUUAAAUUCGGAUUUUUGAACUGUUUUUG